rnacentral:lncRNA from 1 species
UCUCACUGCCACACUUUUCUUAUUCAUCUCAUCAUCUUAAAUACCAGUACAAGAGACCCACGCACGCACGGGUCAGCCGCCACACUCGGCUGCUAACCCCACUAAUCCAACUAACCCACUACAUGCAUGCGCGCACACACACACGUUCCUACAUGCAACUCACCCGGUCAAGCCACACAUUGGCUGAACCGAUUAUCACUCGACUGGCUAGCUACACACACGCUAGAAUAACAACCAAAUCUACAGAUCCUCUGGAUGGACACGUAUAGGACCAAGUCACCACUAAUUGCUCCUGAUUAUCCCUCCUCCGCUUGAUCUGUCCCGCGACUCGAUGGGUUGCUCCGGCUCCGUAGUGUAUGCAGCAACUGACUAAUACAUCCAUGCAUGCAUGUAGACUAUUUGCUAAUUGUCUAACCUCACUACUAGUUUGCAUGUACACAUGGUCUCAUCUUCACAUGACUACAUGGCCACAACUUUGUUGGUUGGACAUGACUACGAUGCAUGACUACUAAAUAACUAUGAUGAAAAACAAAACAACAAAGUUAACUCUAACAAUCUCUUCCUUAACCUUGUUGUCAUUUAUUCCAACUCCUCCAUGGCGACCUUCACAACGAGCACGCCGCUGUGGCACCCUCGCUGCCGCAUGUUUGCCACCGGUGCCGCAACUCGCCAGUGACUCACCUCCAUGUUCGCUACCGGUGACACAACUCGCCGGUGACUCGCCUCCAUGUUGCCGACGAUGACACACCUUGUCGCCGACUCGGACAUGGAACUCCUCGUGGCAAUGGCCUCCGCUCCAUGGCCAUCACCUCCUUGCCGCCGGUGCCGCAACUUACCGGGCAGCAUACCUCUCUCCAUCGCUCAUGACGCAGCUCGACGAUGAUGAAGACACACACCCACCGCAAGCGGCAUCGCGCCGCCAACGGCGUCCACCUUGCGCCGCUGACGUCCCCUUCACAUGGAGUCCGCCGCGCCGCCACCGUCGCCUCGGAUCGACAAGGCUCCGAUACCAAUUGUUGGCGCCGCCUCUCGUCGCAGCGCCGCUCCUCUUCUUCCUCACACAACUUUCUUUUCCUCUUGUUUCUCUCAAAAACACACACCAUGGAAGAACUGAAAAACACACACACACACGCAUGUACCAGGGAAGGAAGCCAGCUAGCUUUGCCAAGAGGCUCUCCUCCGUGGCCACACAAGUGCUACAUCUUUUUCACUAGCCCACACGGCCACACUUUUCUCAUUCAUCUCAUCAUCUUAAAUACCAGUACAAGAACACGCACCGGUCAGCCGCCACACUCGGCUGCUAACCCCACUAAUCCAACUAACCCACUACAUGCAUGCACACACACACGUUCCUACAUGCAACUCACCCGGUCAAGCCACACAUUGGCUGAACCGAUUAUCACUCAACUGGCUAGCUACACACACGCUAGAAUAACAACCAAAUCUACAGAUCCUCUGGAUGGACACGUAUAGGACCAAGUCACCACUAAUUGCUCCUGAUUAUCCCUCCUCCGCUUGAUCUGUCCCGCGACUCGAUGGGUUGCUCCGGCUCCGUAGUGUAUGCUCGAUGGGUUGCUCCGGCUCCGUAGUGUAUGCAGCAAACUGACUAAUACAUCCAUGCAUGUAGACUAUUUGCUAAUUGUCUAACCUCACUACUAGUUUGCAUGUACACAUGGUCUCAUCUUCACAUGACUACAUGGCCACAACUUUGUUGGUUGGACAUGACUACGAUGCAUGACUACUAAAUAACUAUGAUGAAAAACAAAACA